UUUGAUCAUGGCUCAAAGUGAACGCUGGCGGCGUGCUUCCCUCAUGCAAGUCGAACGAGAACGGAUUAUAGCUUGCUAUAAUUGUCAGCUAAGUGGCGCACGGGUGAGUAAUGUAUAGGUAAUAUGCCUCUUACUAAGGGAUAACAAAUGGAAACGUUUGCUAAUACCUUAUAUUCCUUAUUAACAUAAUUUAAUAAGGGAAAGAUUUAUUGGUAAAAGAUUACCCUGUAUUGUAUCAUUUAGUUGGGGGGGUAAGGGCUUACCAAGACUAUGACACAUAACUGGUUUGAGAGGAUGAUCAGUCACACUGGAACUGAAACACGGUCCAAACUCCUACGGGAGGCAGCUUUGGGGAAUAUU
rnacentral:rRNA from 1 species